CUGAGGGAAGUAGUCCCUCUUCCUCUGUCCCAGGAUCCUGACACUGUUUCUUGGAGACUUUCUCCUUCGGGUGAAUUCUCCGUUAGUUCGGCCUAUCAGGCAUUAUGUCAUGUGCCUACAUGGCUAUCCCCACUGUGGAAGGCACCGAUGCCCUUGAAGAUUAAGAUCUUCGUAUGGCAGCUUCUACGAGAUCGUCUCGCUUCGGGGACCGAGGUGCUGAAACGCCAUGGUCCGGGCAAUGGCCUUUGCCCUUUGUGCCAUGUUCCGGAAACGGGAACACACAAUUUGUUUUCUUGCGUAGCAGCGCACGCACUUUGGUGCUUUGUUCGUGAGGCUCUAGGACCAGAGUGGGAGGCCCGUGACCUUGCAGACUUUCUGCAGGUAAGGGCCACCCAGGUUGGCCGUAAGCGCCGACUGUUCUGGCGCAACAAGAUGGUUGGCCGUAAGCGCCGACUGUUCUGGCGCAACAAGAUGGUGAUUGAGCGGGUGUUCCUGCGUCGUGCUUCUGACUCGUUCUUCAAAUUUCUUGCCUUCUUGCAGUACUGGCAUCCGCUCGCUAAGCCGAGGGAUCGUGACCGUCUUCAGCUCUUGCUGGACGCCCUGGUGUCUACCGCGCAUCGGCUCUCCAACCGCCCGCCUGCUUCGUAG
rnacentral:rRNA from 1 species